rnacentral:lncRNA from 1 species
AUGAUGGAUACGUCAAUGGAUUUCACAACUGAAGACCAAGUUUAUUGGUCAGGCAAUAGGGAAGAGGCUUCAAGAGACUCUUACCUUGAAACAAUAGAAGAGCUUGAGGAAUUUUUACAGAAACUCGAUGAGAUAUAUGGGACAAGAAGUCCAGCUGCACCUGAGCCAAAACCCUGUGUACCUCCGACUGCCCAUGAAGAGGACAGCCAAAAGGAAUCCAUGCAGAAUGAGGAUCCUACAACUGAAGAUCUAGUUCAGGUAUCAGGCAACAGCAAAGAGGUGUCGAGGUACUCCUAUCUUCAGACGGUUGAGGAAAUUAAGGCAUUUCUACAGGAAGCCAAUGAGACACAUAAGGCAAGGACCCCAGCUGCCCCAGAGCCUCUGACUGCCCGUGAGGAAGAUGACCAAAAGGAGUCCAUGCAGAGACAGAAACCCACAACUGAAGAUCUAGUUCAGUUAUCAGGCACCAGCAAAGAGGCUUCCACAACUUCUUUCUUUGUGACACUUGAGGACAUUGAGGAGUUUCUUCACGAGAUCAAUGAAAUACACGAGGCAAAAACCCCACCUGCACCAGAGUCGGAGCUCUGCGUACCUCUGACUGCCCAUGAUGACGUCAGCCAAAUGGAGUCCGUGAACAGCCAGGUGACCUCCUUUGAUGAGAGAAACCCAACAGGAACAUCCCAGUUAAUGGAUGUCACUGACACCCCAACGACAUUUAUCACUGUUUGUCAAGUAACAGUUGUUAAUGCAAACAAGAGGACAAUCUUCAAUGAGGGUAGCGAGGUAGGGACCCUCAGUGAUGACCAGAGCCUCUGUGGAGGCCAGAUGACCAUCAGUGGGGAUCAGGCCCUCUAUGGGGCUCAGAUGAAGAGCCCCACUGUAUGCCAGAAUCUCAGUCUUGAACUGAAAGAGUCUCCCUGCUAA